UACGGAAGGCAGCAGUGGGGAAUAUUGCACAAUGGGCGCAAGCCUGAUGCAGCCAUGCCGCGUGUAUGAAAAAGGCCUUCGGGUUGUAAAGUACUUUCAGUCGUGAGGAAGGUGUUAAGGUUAAUAACCUUAGCAAUUGACGUUAGCGACAGAAGAAGCACCGGCUAACUCCGUGCCAGCAGCCGCGGUAAUACGGAGGGUGCGAGCGUUAAUCGGAAUUACUGGGCGUAAAGGGCACGCAGGCGGUUAAUUAAGUUGGAUGUGAAAUCCCCGGGCUUAACCUGGGAAUGGCAUUCAAGACUGGUUAGCUAGAGUCUUGUAGAGGGGGUAGAAUUCCGAUGUGUAGCGGUGAAAUGCGUAGAGAUGUGGAGGAAUACCGGUGGCGAAGGCGGCCCCCUGGACAAAGGACUGACGCUCAUGUGCGAAAGCGUGGGGAGCAAACAGGGAUUAGAUACC
rnacentral:rRNA from 1 species